GCUGGGCUUGGUGACACAUGCCUGUAAUCCCAGUGACUUGGAGGCUGAGGCAGGAGGAUCACAAGUUGAAAGCCAGCCUCAG
rnacentral:sRNA from 1 species